GACGAACGCUGGCGGCGUGCUUAACACAUGCAAGUCGAACGGAAAGGCCCUGCUUUUGUGGGGUGCUCGAGUGGCGAACGGGUGAGUAACACGUGAGUAACCUGCCCUUGACUGUGGGAUAACCUCAGGCAACCGGUGCUAAUACCGGCUAGGAGCUCCUGCUGCAUGGUGGGGGUUGGAAAGUUUAGGCGGUUGGGGAUGGACGCGCGGCUUAUCAGCUUGUUGGUGGGGUAGUGGCCUACCAAGGCUUUGACGGGUAGCCGGCCUGCGAGGGGGACCGGGCACAUUGGGCCUGAGGUACGGCCCAGACUCCAAUGGUAGGCAGCGGUGGAGAGUAUUGUACAAUGGGCGGGAGCCUGAUGCGACAACGCCGCGUGCGGGAAGACGGCCAUGGGGUUGUAAAGCGCUUUCGCCUGUGACGAAGCGUGAUUGACGGUAAUGGGUAAAGAAGCACCGGCUAACUACGUG
rnacentral:rRNA from 1 species